GUUGUUGCUUGUCGUUUUUCUUCGUCUUGGGGAUAGGGUUCAGGCGCUGUCAGAACGGGCUUGAGAUCCAUGUUUGCGGCCACAAUUCGCUCAAUGACUGCUCUUGGUAUUCAUACACUAGGGGUGUAUUGAAGGGAAAUCGCGUAGAAUAAUCCCAAGUUCCAGUGUGCAAUUAUCAAUCAAUCGGUCUUGAGGGGCAUUCAAUGUUUGAGUCACAUGAAAAGCGAUGUCGGAACGGCCGCAGGAAUAUUUAUUUAUUUGUUUCGAAGCUUCAAAUAUUUCAAACCCGAUUGAUCAAUUGAGCCUCAUGUCUUAUAGUAAGACAUCGCGGAAUUAGCAGAGCAUCGGAGGAUAUUUGUAAUGAUGCUGAGAAAGGCAGAUAUGUCAAAUAGUUGAGUUGCUUCAUAAGCAAGCAUGUCGGCAGUUAACUACAGUAACUAUCACGCACGGCAGAGUGGACGCUUAUCGAACAUCACCGAAGCUACGAACCACUCCUUCCCGGUGCCCCGCCAGAAGGGAGCACAUCAUUUUCUUCCAUGAAUCUCUUGCUACUCUUGCAUUGACUAAGCCAUACUUGUCAUCCGUUUUCAGUGUUGGUCAAGACAGCGAGAGUGACGGGCUUGACAUCAACCAGUUCCAUCCUU
rnacentral:lncRNA from 1 species